GACGAACGCUGGCGGCGUGCUUAACACAUGCAAGUCGAACGGAAAGGCCCUGCUUUUGUGGCGUGCUCGAGUGGCGAACGGGUGAGUAUCACGUGAGUAACCUGUCCUUGACUUUGGGAUAACUUCAGGAAACUCGGGCGAAUAUCCGGCAUAAGCUCCUUCUGCAUGGGGGGUAUGGGUGAGUUUCGGCGUUUGGGGAUGGACUCGAGGUAUAUCAGCGUGUUGGUGGGGUAGUGGCGUACCAAGGCUCUGACGGGUAGCCGGACUGAGAGGGUGACCGGCCACACUGGGACUGAGAAAGCGCCAAGACUGAUACGGGAGGAAGCGGCGGGGGAUAUUGCACGAUGGGCGGAAGCCGGAUGCAGCAACGCCGCGUGCGAGAUGACGGCCUGCGGGUUGUAAACCGCUUUCGCCUGGGACGAAGAGCGAGUGACGGUAAUGGGUAAAGAAGCAACGGCUAACUACGUG
rnacentral:rRNA from 1 species